CAGUCAAACUGAGCUGCAUAUACAUUGAAUUAAGGUGUUUCUGCUUAGUGUGCUGCAUUUGGGAUUUACACUGUCAGGAGUUCACUGUUUGGGGCUGAACACACCUUGCAUCGUGCGCUUUCAUUAUGUCAGACCCUCAGGGUGACAUAAUGAAGAGAUUUUUUAUGUAUACUGUUUUUGUUUUGUUAGGGCAAUAGUCCAACAUGACAUGCUUAAAUAAACCAAUUGAAGUUCAAUUUAAGUGAUGAAGGAUGAAUUAACAUGUGACCUCAUUGUAUUGGUAUUCCAUAGAAUCAAUUAUGUGUAAAAGUACACAGAACUACCACUAACUUGCACUGUUUAUAUUCCCUAACGCCUUAUCUACUGGGUUUUUAUUUUUAGCACAAUACUCAAUAUUUCAUUCACAUCUGUGUUGGUCAUGUGGUUAGAGGACAGAUACAUAUAUGAGUGUGUAUGACUUUCAGGUUUACUUAUUCAUUUUAUUUCUACAGUAUGAUGUUUAUUUAUGUGUUUAUGAGAAUCCUUUGCUCUGGUACUGCUCAAACAAAUGUCAUAAACCUGCAGAAUCAUUUGGAAAACAGACCUGUUUUCCAGAUGCACACUUGAAGUCAAAGGUGCCUGGACAUUUAUUAGACAACAUAAUGAUUUGAUUCUUUUAAUAAAAACAUGCUAAAAUGCUUUUAAUGUAAAGCAUCACACCUCUUCCAUGAUUUUCAAGGAGCAUUAAGAGUUAAUAACAAGAAAAACAGCAACAAUAUCAUUGUUAAUAAGAGGAAUUAUGCAACACAAGUAUCACUGGUAAUGAAUCUGUAAAAACCAAGUAGACAUUUCUUUAAAAGUUUCUUUCAUGACUUACAGUACUUAUAAACAGUCAUAGAUAUUGUGAUGUAUUCAACAAUUCGGCCUCAUCUCUUGAUCUGUGGUCUUUCCAUCCAUCCAUCCAUCCAUCCAUUUUCCAAACCGCUUAUCCUAUUGGGUCGCGGGGGGUCCGGAGCCUAUCCCGGAAUCAAUGGGCACGAGGCAGGGAACAACCCAGGAUGGGGGGCCAGCCCAUCGCAGGGCACACUCACACACCAUUCACUCACACAUGCACACCUACGGGCAAUUCAGCGACACCAAUUAGCCUCAGCAUGUUUUUGGACUGUGGGGGGAAACCGGAGUACCCGGAGGAAACCCCACGACGACACGGGGAGAACAUGCAAACUCCGCACACAUGUGACCCAGGCGGAGACUCGAACCCGGGUCCCAGAGGUGUGAGGCGACAGUGCUAACCACUGCACCACCAUGCCGCCCCUGUGGUCUUUCCAUGAAAGGAAAAAGUCUGGUGUGAUGAGUUCUUGCAGUAACUAUUCAGGUAAUAAAUUCACAAAUGUUUUUCCAGCUCAUGACAACCUUCAAAGCAGAUCCUAUCUGCACAGAAUGACUUGAGAAAUCUCCUGUCCUGAUAUCAUGGAAAUCUAACUCCACAGAACAGGUCUCGCAGAACUAACAGCCUGGGCUUUGUCAUGCAGUGCCUCAUUAUCUAAGGGAAAAUUCACUGAGUAGAGCAGAGAUGCUUCCUGAGAUGUUCUUAAGAGGUUUUCCUGCACUUAAUUCUUGUCCUCUCGACUGAUUGUACCAGAAGCUGGGCCGCUCUUUGUGCUGCUGGCAGGGACGAGAAACUACAAAAACCUUUUCCUUUGCAUCUGAUGCAUAGAAACAGGAAGUGUAAUGUAAAUUUCUGUUGUGAUACAACCAUUAUGUUAAAUGGAUGGACUGAACAACCAGGAUCACAUUGUUUGGAAACAUAGCCACAGAGGUAGGGUCCUAUGGCAGUCACCCACUGCUCUCUCUAUAAAAACCUCCAGAACAAACGUCCUUCAGUUGUGUUUACUAGAAACAGUCUAUUUUGCUAAACAUGUUGAUUUGCUAAACAAACACAAGCCCACCGUUUCAAUCUUCACUUUGUUACCAAACAACUAGAUGUUUGAUUUUUGCGUACAUAAAUACAUAAAAUAAUUGCGUACAUAACAAUAAAAUAACUUUUUUAAGCUAAGUCAUUUUAAAUACUUUAAAUAAUACUUUUACAUUGGAAAAAAUGAAAAAGCUUAUAUAAGUUGGUCUUGGAGAAACUACUCUUCUUUUUUAUUUAUGUUCCUGUGAUUGUAGUUUGGUGUCUUGUACUGCAGUAGUGGUUCAGGCAUGUUUUUUUCCUGUGUUUGCGAACAGCUGCAUACCCCUGCACGGAGCGCAUCAGGUGAAACAGAUGUAACCAUUGUGAGUGGAAGACAGACGUCUCACUGCUGGGUGCUAAGAUGACUGUUUUAUAACUGUACGCAGGUCAGCAGCAGGAAGUGCACAAGAGACAUAUGAGUUAUUAAGAUAUUAAUGCAUUUUAUAUGAUCUACUCAGGGAUCUCAAAGUAGAAUGCCAUUUAGCAACCCUAGCACAUGUGGAGGCAGGAUUUCCUAGUUAUAAAAACUAAAUUUAUUUUAUUUUUCUCAGCUAAAAUUCAUAUGUCAUUUACAAUAUAUCCGGUGUUACAGCGCUGGAACUUCUACUGCCCUAUUUGCUAUGGUACAAUUGCAUGUUUUACGUCUGGCCUGAUACUGAUUUUGAAUAAUCAUCACUGAUUACUCAUUACCAGUCAGGAUUCAGGUCCCUACUCUGGUGCUUACAUUGGCCGGUUAGUGUUAUUGUAACCUUAGCUGGCCAGUUAUUGUAAUCAUUGUGUUGGACGGAUUGAAGAAGCUGCACUGUUUCCACAAAGUAGCACUGAAGGAGCCUUUUGUUCCCUGGUGCUGUAUCGCCUUACAUCUGUCACAGUGGUGCUUUUAUUUCUCACUCUGAAAGUUUAGCCCAUUGUGGUGGUGGAUGCAAGCAUCACAGAAUUUUCAUUCGAGAGGUUUGAUUUCAGUCUCACUAGGCAGGAAUUCACUUAGUGAUGUAAUUACUUCAAUAACAGGCUAAACCGAGAAAAGGAUAUCUAUUAUCAGACCCAUAAAAACACAAUAUGUCUUAAAGAUUUUUCUUUUGCUUUCAAUAGUAGAAGUACAGUAGAAGGAAACUGAAGUACUUUACAGAAAUCUGCCUGACAUAGGAGAAAGAUGCACACUCCACAGGAAGUGGGAUAUAAACCCCCAACCCCAGAGGAAUGAGACAACAGUGCUGCCCAUCUGUCCUAUUUUUAACCCAGUUUUGAUUUGGAAAGUGUGUAUCAAAUGUCUUCUGUUCUCUCCCUUAUCUAGAGUAUGGGUAGGGUUAUACUACUGUAUGAAGACCAUUCACACCUCCUAGGCAGACACAGGUGCAGAGUAAGGGCAGGUUACUGCAAUGAGUUUUUACUAGAUAAUCACAAUAUUCCUUAGAAAGAUUAUAUAUAAGAAUUCUGAAAUACAAAGAGAUCAAUUAGUGUGCCUAAGUAAUCAUUCUACAUUAUAAUUCUGAUGAGGACUAUUGUGCAGAUAAGCGCUUUUGUUAAAGUACUAUGUGUCAAAUGUUUCUCAUUUUGUGAGCAAACCCUGAGGUGAUACCGUUUGGGUGGAGCAAGAUUCCAGUUGUGAUUCACAUUUGGCUCAGAAUUUAAAUAUCUAGUGGAUGAGCACGCGGGAAUGUGAGAGUGCAGUUAGGAAAAUGGUUUCUCUGCCACACCUUUCACCCCCCAAUCAGACUGAGCAGGAUUGGUUGCGUCCUCUGCUUCUGACAGCCUUGUUUCACAGGAUGGGCAAGUUGUUCGGGAUGGAUUCUUUUGGUCUAUUACAACUGCCGGAUCUCUACCCAGUGACUCUUUCCUGCAUAUAUCAACAGGAACUCGCCGUCCUCGACAAGGCAGUGUUUGUACAUUCAAAACAAAAUGGAUUUACUUUGCAAAAGAAAUACACUGCUACAGUAGAAAGGGGCUUGGAAGAGAGAGGGUGCUCUUUUUGAAGGUAUUGGUGUCAUGCUGCCGUGAUCGUGGGCGAAGCUGUAGAGUGUCGAUGGAGCUGAAGGUGUGGGUAGAUGGGGUGUUGCGGGUGCUGUGUGGCCUUUCUGAGGAGACCUCCUGUCAGGAUGUAGUCAUCACCCUCGCCAAAGCCAUGGGUCAGACUGGUCGUUAUGUUCUGAUCCAGAGGCUGAGGGACUAUGAAAGGCAGCUUCUGGCCAAUGAGAAACUGCUGGACUCCAUGACAAAGCUAGGUCAGCAAGCCAGUGACAUCCAGUUCUUCUUGCGUCGCAUUGGUCCCAUUAAUCAGGACAGAACAGUUUCGGAUAAAGGAAUUACCAGCCCCAAACUACAUGUGUUAGAACCUCACAAACACAAGGAACCCAGACGGUCUCACACAUUCAACCUGGGUCACUCUAGCUCACUCAAAAAGAAGCCCAAGCAUUUGAAAAGGUCAGCUUUCACACCUCCUCCUUGCUCGUCUGUCACGGUGUCCAAGGAUGAGCUAUUCCAGCAAGUUCUGCAGCAGCAAGCAAGGCUGCAUGACCUGGAGGUCCAUCUGAAUGUAAUGGAGCAGGAGAUGCUUGUCUGGGAACAGAUGACUGCUUCUGACUAUGAACUACCAGAGACAAAGCUAGAGGCAAAACUGGAGCAAAAGCUAUGCACAGAGGAAGAUCAGGAACUUGCCUUGAACCACAAGCUGAGGAAACUGCAUCAAAUGUUGGACAGUUACGAUACCAGCCUGCAGGACCUCACAGCCCACACUGGGCAUCUUGAGAAGGAGAUCGAGCUGGAGAACAUCAGACGUCAGUCCUUCGUAGCACUGUCAAACCUGGAGGAGUCAUUGGGGUCUGUUAAGGUGGAGCUAAAGAGUGAGCAGAAGCAUGGAGAGGAGCUGGAGUCUUCUCUUACAGAGCUUGAAAAAGUACUUGGGAGCACAGAGGCUCUGCUGCAGACUAAGACAGAGGAAAUGGACAAGCUGAACAAGGAGCUGCGACAAUGCAACCUGCAGCAGUUCAUCCAGCAGACGGGAACCCACAUUCACACAGACCUAGAACAUCUGGAGAAAAUUGAAAAGAUGCAUCUCCUCCCUAAAGGAUCCUACAAUGGUUCUGGCUCAUGUCAUGCAGCACUGCCCCCCCAAUCUACAGCCAAGCGGCUUCUGGGUCACCCACGGAACCUGCUUGAUCCUCUUAUUUCUAGCCUCAACCCUGAAGGCGUGUUUGUGUAAAAUCCCUCUGACCCAGCAAGGCGCCCCAGCAGCUGAGCUCUGCUUCCCGAAGCCACUUAGCCAGAUGUCUCCCGAGCCUCUAACAGCGACACCCCGCAUGACUUUGCUUGAAAUUAAUCCAACCACUUUAUCUACUCACCCCAGGACUCUCACUUCCCUCUGCACAUGGGUGACUAUAAGUCUAUCCCAGGCAGCGCAAGGCAGAAGACCCUGGAAUACCCUGAAUGUGACAGCAGUCCCUCACACUUUAUGAGCUGUGUAAACAAUGAGAUGGGUGAUAAAAAAACCUGUAAAAUCUAAUGACACCACCAAAAAGUUGGGAUGUGCAUAAAACUUGUCUACUAGGGGGUGACAAUAUAGUAUGCAUUCAGUACUAAUAGAAUUUUCGUCUAGUAUCAGUUAAUCUUCUGUAAUGAUAUGAUGUUAUGGAAGUCAGCCUUUAGAAAACACAGGGACAGACCAUUUAUUAAGACAAAGUAAAAGGGGCAGGGCAAUAGAUGAGGUAUAUUGUUUUAAUGCGCAAGGAAACAAUCUACGGCUUUGUAAUUAUUCUGGGAAGAAAGCUUGCUCUACUCCCUUGUUUUAAUUAAAUUAAAACUUCUGGCCCACCCAGGAUUCUUGGGCUGCAGAUGACGGUUCAGAGAUAGAUACAAUAUAACCUUUAUGCUAAGAUGUUGGUCCAGCUCCAAGGGUGGAUCCUGGUAACCCUAUUCUGGGUGGGGUAUUCUGGUUUUUAUUGGUACCUUAAGUAAUUUUUGUACAUUUUGCCCCUGUAUGACUGUAAUUAGAGUUGAGUCUGUAUACUUGACCUCAGCUGAGGAUGCAACUUGUCAAAUUUGUGAUUUUCAUGAAUAAAAUAUCAAAUCACA